CUCCUACGGGGCGCAGCAGUGGGGAAUAUUGCACAAUGGGGGAAACCCUGAUGCAGCAACGCCGCGUGAGUGAAGAAGUAUUUCGGUAUGUAAAGCUCUAUCAGCAGGGAAGAAGAUGACGGUACCUGAAUAAGAAGCCCCGGCUAACUACGUGCCAGCAGCCGCGGUAAUACGUAGGGGGCAAGCGUUAUCCGGAUUUACUGGGUGUAAAGGGAGCGCAGACGGCAGUGCAAGUCUGGAGUGAAAGCCCGGGGCCCAACCCUGAGCCUGCAUUUGAAACUGUUUUUCUUGAGUGCUGGAGAGGC
rnacentral:rRNA from 1 species